AAAAAGAUAAAGCAUAUAGCACAGCCGAACAGGCCUGGCAGUCCUCUCAGAAGACAGUUGGCAUGUCCAUGCGUCCCAGCAGUACUAACAUGUAAGGAAUAGCUCCUAAGUGUAUGGGUAGCUAUUCAUCUGAUUAUUUGCACUGAACUUGUCACCUAAACGAUCCCACAUCCAAGUGGCAGUGCUGACCAAUGACAAUAUUUUGCAUCUUACAAUGGAGAUUCUGAGACCAUUUUUUUCUUUUCUUACUUCUAUUGUCACAACUAGCACUGGGGACAAACCCUUUAAAUCUUAUUACCAGUGAGGCUGGAAACUAUACAGAGGACAUAACAAGACCAUGCCUGAAGAGUAGGGUUUGAGGGCUCUGUGAUUUAGCUCUUCUCAAGUGAUAUGCUGACCUCUGGAGGCCACAGGCAGCUGGUAUAAUUUUAAUUCUUCGUCUAAAAUGUAUCCCUGCCAGCACAGGCAAGAAAGCUACGUACCCAAGGAAACUAUAGCUAUCACCUCUCUACACCCUCAGUGGCUCCUUGCAAAUAUUCUGUCUAGCUAGAAACGAAGUCUCGAUGUCCCUGUUAGUUUACAGAGCUUGGUGGGUGUAACCAGGGCGCUGACACAGGGUGGAGGAGCACAACUGUUCUUCAGCUCGGUGCGUGGGAGCACAUACACGCAGCGAGCUGUGCAUCACCAGCCAAGGCAGCACCAACAGCUUUGUGGCAGAUGCCUGUAAAGCUUUCCAGGUCAUCGUGCCCUGCCAUGUCAUCGCAAUGUCCCUCUCAGAGCCCCUCUUCUUUCGCCCCCCACUCCUUUCCCUGAAAAAAAUGUACCUCAAUAGCACUAUUGUGCUUCAUGAGCAUCUACCAGUCCAUGGAAAGAAAAUUUUGCAGAUGAUUGCAAUCAGCGAUAAAGCUGAUUUUUCUGUAGUCACACGCAAAUGAUGGAGGUGAACAAGUAUCAAAGGGAGAGUCGUGCACUGGGGAGACUGGGACUCUGCUCCAUCCCGAGGUGCUGCCAGCUGAAGGGUCUCUGAAGGAAGACCACGUUUCAGAUCACAGGUAGCCACAGGUAGUCCUGACUAUGUGAGGGGCAGCAGGAGAUAAAAUGAGCUUUACCUUUUACAAAGUAAACUAUGAGCCAUGAUUUUGACUUUUCAGAAUUGCCAUGAAGAGGUUUUGAACCACAUCCUGAUCUCAUACUGCAAUCACGGAGUUACACCAACAUAACGAUAGCAUCGAUGUGGUCAGAAGCAACACGUAUCAUUAUAGGUUCCUAACUCUUGCUCUCCGGAUCCAGGAGGAGAGAGAACAGAUUCCUCUUGGGAUUAGUGUAACCAACGCUCCACCUCUGUCCUCAUCUCAGGUAAUACCGUGCCUUCAAUUGUCAUUAUACCCAAGAAUCAAAUUAUUUGAAUUCUGGACACAUCAGCACAAAACCGAAGACUCCCUGCCAAUUUCAUAGCCUGCUUGGAAGAGAACAUCAGAGAGCAUCACUCAUUUAUACGACUGCCAGCCUGAGACUGUAAAUUCAGAAAACAAGAAGGCCUCAGGUGCUGCACUUUAACAUCUUUCUGCUCCUGAAUCACACACACACACACCCCCAAACCACCCCCAUUACAUCCAAGGUAACGUUUUAUCUCUGAAAGGCAAAGCUUUCCAGCGUCUGCCAGGGUGAGCAUGGACUCUGUUUGGCUUGAAUGCGACUUGAAAAUGAGACGAUUAAGUAUAUUAAUUGAUAACAGUCACUUGUGACUUUGAAGGAGAUUCAUGACACUUGGAAAAAUAAUCUAUAAAGAUUGCUGUUGCUCUAAAAAGACAGUGCAGCAUCAGCUUAUUUCACUUGCAGCAGGUUCAUCUCUUUUAUAGAGCAUACUGCACUGCAGGCAAAGGGAAUUUUAAUGGACACUGGAAAAAAUGAUCUAUCCCUCUGUCCCACGACAAAAAAGAAACCAUAAAAAGACAUAGCACAGAGAGAUUGAGAUACGCUAUCAGGAAACAUUUAAGGAACUAUAAUUAAAUUUAGAUUCAGAAGUCUGCCAAUGAGAUGAAGAUCAAACUGGCAGAAAGUUGAACCUUGUUUGAAGCAACUUGUUCCCUCCUGCUGUGGGUUGUUUUGUACCAGGCUAAUGAGAAGGCACAUCUCUGAAAGGUUCCUAAUAAACCAGCAGAUCUCUGACAGUUAAUUAAUAAACAUAUUUUGCAGCAGUAUACCAUGUUCCGUUUAAUGCUUUUCAAGUGCCUUGCAAGCGUUAAUGUGUUAAUGCAUUACUCUUUCCUUUUUUAAGCUACAAGCCCCGCUUCAUAGGUGGGGAAACUGAGGCACAAAAUGAACAUGACCUGCUUAAAAAUCACCCAGGAACUCAGCCAAACUUCUGUGAGAGCAGAAGUUAGAUCUUGAGUGUGACCAUUCAGCCAUGAGCCAUUUGGCAACGGCUGACGAAGCAGGUAUGGGUACCGCAUGGCCUGACCUAUCUGACAGUGGGGAUCUCAAAUACACUCUGAACGUCGGAAAGCAGUCUCAAAUGGCAUUUUAUAUAGAUACUUUCUAUGAAUUAUGCCUGCCAGCGAGGCACGUACCUCCCUGCACGACAGACAAUAGGUGUAUAAAGCUCAGGCGUGUUUGUGGAAUCAGGAGUUAACAGCCUGACGGGGACAUUUGGGCAUGGGUGAUAAAAACCCAUGAACUUCAGCUGAAAUAAAUGCAUUUGAUGGCAUGUAUGGUUUAUUCUUCAAAUACAGAGAGCAAGCCCCCGUUUCACUCUCUGUAGCAAUACUCAAGCAAUGCUUGAAGCACCCUUAAGCCCCCUUAUCUGGGUUUGUCGCCAACAGCAAAGGAAUGAUCAAAAAGCUCCUGUUUGUCUGUUAAAAAUUCCGUUUUUGAAUAUUUAAUUUCUGGGGGUGAAAAACAGAUCAUGCAUGAAAAACCCAGUUAAGGUUUACAGGGAAGAGGUUUUCCUUUUUUAAUGAGAAGAUUGAACACACUUUUUGCUGAAUGCUUCCUGACCAUCUCUGCUUUCUCUCUGGCAUAUUCUAGUUAUAUUCAUACAUCAGCAUAAUGCAGUGAAACCUGUAACCAGCUGCAAGAAG